rnacentral:rRNA from 1 species
AGUAAUACAUCGGAACGUGUCUUCUAGUGGGGGAUAACUGCCCGAAAGGGCAGCUAAUACCGCAUGAGACCUGAGGGUGAAAGCGGGUGAUCGCAAGACCUCGCGCUGGAAGAGCGGCCGAUGUCCGAUUAGCUAGUUGGUGAGGUAAAGGCUCACCAAGGCGACGAUCGGUAGCUGGUCUGAGAGGACGACCAGCCACACUGGGACUGAGACACGGCCCAG